rnacentral:misc_RNA from 1 species
UUCAUUAAAUGUUUUCUUGUAAAAGUCAUGGUACUCAUCCUUUUCAACUUCCUUUGGACUUCGCAUCCAUAUUGGCUUUGUUUCAUUGGCCAGCUCCCAAUCCCAAUACUUCUCAGUUUUAGUUUUCUUUGUUUUCUUCUUCUCAUCCUCUGGUUUUGCUUCUUCUCCUUCUCUUGGUUCUUCCUCCUCUUCCACCUCAACAGUCCUUGAUUUCUCUUGCCACGUAUAAAUGGGGAAAGAAACAAAUUGUGAGUAGUUCUUCACCAAACCCUGAAUUUUGACUGGAUCUGAGAAUUCAUAUUUAUCGUCCUCCCUUAAAUAAAGUGUAAUUUGUGUUCCGCGACGUAGGAGCUUUUCAGGAUCACUUUCUUCCUUAAUCAAGUAAGAGCUACUGUCAGCUACUGCUUCCCAAACAUAUUGCCUAUCUGACAUUGGGCUCUUCGUAGCCACUACAACCUUCUCAGCCACAAGAAAAGCAGAAUAGAACCCAACACCAAAUUGACCAAUCAAACCAUUGUCUGCCCCAAGAUCCUUAUUUUCCUUAAGAGCCUUAAGGAAUUUUGAAGUGCCACUCUGAGCAAUGGUUCCAAGACAGUCAAUGAGCUCUUCUUUUGUCAUUCCAAUGCCUGUGUCUGUUAUGGUGACGGUCCCAUUGUCUGGAUCAGGUUUUAUGCGAAUCUCCAAGUCACCAGCAUCUCCAAGCAAAGAUGGCUCAGUCACACUUAAAAACCUCAACUUAUCUAAAGCAUCGCUUGCAUUGCUCACAAGCUCUCUAAGGAAUACUUCCUUGUGGCUGUAAAGACUGUGAACUAUCAAAUCCAAUAGGCGACUAACCUCAGCUUGAUACUCGAAUUUCUCGCCAGAAGAAUCAGCGGCCUCUUUCUCAGCGACGGCCGCCUCGCACCUGACAGCAAUUCGAUUAUUUCGUUUCUCAAGUUUCCAACUUAGGCCAGUACAGGAAAACCCCCUUUUAAGACCGUUAUUCUGUGGCAAAAAGGGACUUCUUAGACAAAAGGACUUCAGGUUAAGGUGUUUACGUGAGAAGGGUGUGGAAAAGGGAGGGGAGACCAAAGAAGCAGAAGCACCUAAGCUUCUGCUCAGAACUGGAGCCAUCGAGCCCUAGACAGAUAAAAGGGGGUAGCAGUCAGUUGCUACAAGAGAUAUUUUGGGCGAUCAAUCAACCGCUAUCCAGAUUGCAAAGAAAACUAAAAACCCUCGAGGGGUUUAAGGGGAAGAGAAGAGGGUUCUAG